AUUAUUAACCGAGGUCGGGCACCUCAAAAAAUAAA
rnacentral:ncRNA from 1 species